rnacentral:rRNA from 1 species
AACGAACGCUGGCGGCAUGCCUAACACAUGCAAGUCGAACGAGACCUUCGGGUCUAGUGGCGCACGGGUGCGUCACGCGUGGGAACCUGCCCUUAGGUUCGGCAUAACUCCCCGACAGGGGUGCUAAUACCGGAUAAUGUCUUCGGCCCAAAGAUUUAUCGCCUUUGGAUGGGCCCUCGUUGGAUUAGCUAGUUGGUAGGGUAAAAGCCUACCACGGCGACGAUCCAUAGCUGGUCUGAGAGGAUGAUCAGCCACACUGGGACUGAGACACGGUCCAGACUCCUACGGGAGGGGGGAAAGGGGGAUAGAGGAAAAUGGGGGGAGGGCUGAAGGAGCAAGGACGGGUGAGUGAUGAAGGCAUUAGGGAAGAAAAGCGCUUGUAACCGGGAUGAUAAUGACAGUACCGGGAGAAUAAGCACCGGCUAACUCCGUG